rnacentral:rRNA from 1 species
AACGAACGCUGACGGCGCGUCUUAAGCAUGCAAGUCGAACGGUAAGGGAGAGCUUGCUCUCCCCUAGAGUGGCGGACUGGUGAGUAACGCGUGGGUGACCUGCCCUGAAGAUGGGGAUAGCUAGUAGAAAUAUUAGAUAAUACCGAAUAAGCUCAUUUACAUAAAGGUAGAUGAGGAAAGGAGCUAUGGCUCCGCUUUAGGAUGGGCCCGCGUCCCAUUAGCUGGUUGGUGAGGUAAAGGCUCACCAAGGCAACGAUGGGUAUCCGGCCUGAGAGGGUGAACGGACACAUUGGGACUGAGAUACGGCCCAAACUCCUACGGGAGGCAGCGGCUAAGAAUCUUCCGCAAUGGACGAAAGUCUGACGGAGCGACGCCGUGUGAAUGAAGAAGGCCGAAAGGUUGUAAAAUUCUUUUGCAGAUGAAGAAUAAGAAGAAGAGGGAAUGCUUCUUCGAUGACGGUAGUCAUGCGAAUAAGCCCC